AUCACGUUUCUCACAUAGGGAUGGAAACUGAAGUAGAUGCUUCUUAAUGUUUGUUCAAGAUAAAGAUGCACAUUGUGGCUGCUGCUCUAUAAAAAGUUUCGGCUGUUGUUAAGGAAGAUCCAAAUGAGUACCUUUCAGCUGUUCAAUACACAUUGGAAUAUUUGACCGUGAGCACAAGAUCUGUACCGACAAAGAAGGGAAUUAAAACAGAACAAUACAUCCCAAAAUUUUGCAGGUCUGACUGAAACCAAGUGCAUUCACAGUUGAAGACAUAUCUUUGAUUCUUAUGGGUGAAAAGCAAACUUCUGUAGCUUUUUCAAAGCUAGAAUGUUAAAAGGUCUAACCGACUUUUACUUAGUACUCUAUAUGAGCUACAUU